GGGUUCGCGUUGUUUAGGCUUUAGUUUUCUAUGUUGUAUCUUCUGUAAUAUUAUUUGGGUUUUUUUGUCUUUUUAUUUUUAGCCAUGGCGUUGUCAGUUUAUUUUCAAUCUAUCAGUUUGACUGUCCCUCUGGUAUAAUUUGUCCCUCUUUUAUUAGAUUAAUAUAUUUUAUAAGUCAGAAUUUUGAGAAAAUCAUCUGCAUACAUUUCCAUUGUAACAUAUUUCAAAUGAUGUUUUGUCCUAUUUCAUGAAUGUCUUCAAAUCUUCAAUGUGAACUAUUUUAUAAUGUUUUUGGUAACUCUGACAAAAACAUUUCAUUCCUAGUUUAACAG
rnacentral:lncRNA from 1 species